GUGACGGCGAAUGUGGGGGCGGCUCCCAACAGUCACCCAUCCAUUAGUGGCUCAUGUGUUCUUAAGACAAACUCAGCAGGCUGUACCUGUCCAGAGCUCCCUCACGAGAUUCUUGUGAAACAAAAGGAGCUCCUCUCUAGAAGAUCUUGAAAAGUCAAGUGUGGGGAGGCAACCGCAGAGCCCUACUUCCUGGAUGGGAAGACGGAUGCUGAGGAAGGUGCCGCCUUGUAACCAGAUGUUAUCCAUCCACACUGGACGGGAGGAAAUGAGCCUCAGGGGCCCUGGGAAUUCUGGCCAGAUUUAUAAGAACAUCUUCAAAUGUAGAAGCUUCAGAGUCCUUGGGAGUGUCCGCAGGAAUUGGUGAGCUCGGAAGGACCUCUCUGGAGUCCACCAAUAUCAAGUCGAUUGCCAAGCAUCCUGAUACUUACCUGUUUACUCAGCUGUCAGCUAUGUGCCAAGCGCAGAUACCCUUAAGUUGUAUGUGGCGGUUGUCAAUGUCUUCCCAAAGAAGAGACACACACCUGCUUGUUCACAGAGCUCUGCAAUCAGAUGAUGGGCGUGGACCAAAAGGAGUCUGCAGAACCAUCGAUAGCCUUCUGGGAGUCUUAUCAGAUGAGACUCAGUUCCGCUUCUGGACCCCUGACUCCUCCUCAGGGCCUUCUUUGGAAUCAUGGCAUGAUGACGUCCCUCGUCCUCAUCUCUUUGCCCUCAUACCCUCAUAUGAUCCUCUAUUAGACACGUGAAACCAGAGCUUCUGCCUGCAUGGAACAAGAGCAAGAGAAAGCUGCCUGGGUCACCGUCCCACCUGAGGGCUAUCUGUCUGUCCCACAAAGCAGACAGCACAAGAGGAAGUCUGUGGGGCCGAGGAGACUGACCUGCUUAUCCAUGCUACUUAUCAGGAACUGUGGAACCAUGGAGAACAUGACCCUGGCCCUCCCUUCAGGAUCUGCCUGAGAUCUGGCUGCCUCUUGAGACACUAGAGCCCUGGAUUCAAUUGCGGAACAUUAUGUUGGAGAAUAUAAACACUUCUAGACUGUGCCGGCAUUUGGGAAGGAAUAGUCUGUUUUGACUUGAAUGAACAAAGACAUACGUCUCUGGGCCUGGGGAAGGCUUACCAGCUCAGCUCAUCUACUGUCUGGUGGCAAACAUGUCCUGGGUACUGCCACUACCCAGGACACUCUUCCUCACUCUGUCCCUGUCCAGUUACCGCACCCUUCCCUGUCUGACCCCGCCUCCUGUGCCCACUCGCCUCUGGACCCAGAGAUUCUUCUUGUUUGCUCUAUCAUCCUUGAGCCGGAUACAGGGUGAAUAGUUAACCACACUUGGGUUGAAUGGGAUCUUGAUUCUUAUUUCUGUUCCUUGGAAAGAGGGGUCAGACUCGGUGCGUGGCACCCGGCCUGGAAGCAGCACAAGACUCCAGAGUGAUACAUGAUCUGCCUGGAUGGUCCCAGGGGCUCUUUGGAGGUCAGAGCAAGAGGAGCAGCCUGAGCAGGGGGGCUGAGGAGGGCCGGCACUGGAUCACACGCAGGCGUAUGUCUGGAUAGGCAGAGAGGAACCCACUUUUCAUUCCCUCUUCUGUGACACAAAUGCAAGGAACUUUGAAGACACUCUUCGGAGGUUGCAAUCGGAGAUCAGCUUAUCCAAGGGCUUCAUGUCUGAGCUCUGUUGGUCGUGCCUCCUGAGGACCUCUUUCCUCUACUGUAUGCUGAUGACACACCCAUCCGAUGGGAGCUGGAGCCUUGUCUGGUCCUUUCCUCUAUGACCCCACGUGUACAGUUGGAAAUCCUUCCUAAUCAUGCCUUGAUUCCCCCUUUUCGACUACACUCAAAGAUGUUUGAGCUGUUUUAUUUGCAAAAUGGAUGGACAGUUUGUUUAUAUAAAACAAUCCCAGCUUCCUUGUGCUCUA
rnacentral:lncRNA from 1 species